CAAAAAACGAUCUUAUAUCCAUUUUCAAAAAAUUGAUUAAUUUAAAUAUAUUCUACUUCUUUAUUAUAUUAAAUAUUGAUUAAAAACCACCUUUUAUUCUUUCCGCCUCACAGUAAGUACUUUCAGAGUUUGCAAGGAAUGAAACUAGGGAUGGGAAAAGUAUCGGUACCUGUCGAAAAGUAUCGACAAAGUCCGUAUUUGAUAUGUACCGACAAACAAUAAGGUAUCAAUAAUCGUUUAGUAUCGUUAAGUAGAAGAGUAUCGAUAUUUAGAGUUUCAUGAGGAAUUCGAUUCCCAUAAAUUUUAGACUCUUUGACAUUUUCAUUUGCGAGCAAAAUGGAGUAAGAACCAGGAGGAUUUAUUCAUGAAUGAUAUAUGUGUGUAUGUAUACAGCUUUAUGUUUUUUUAAAUAUGUUAAAAAUAGUUACUCUUUUCAUUUCACAUUACAUACAAUUUUAUUUGCAAAUGCAUUUAUUAUUUAAUAGUUUUCCCAAUUUUCGUCGGAUUUGUAUGAAUGUACUGGGCAAAUUGAAUUCUUGCACAAGUCUUAAAUCGCUGCUCGAAUAUUUAGUUAAAACCUUUAUAAUUGAAUAUACAGUUUUAAGCGCUGGAGACUAUUCUACGAAUCGAGUGCUUAAUAUAUGCCAAAACCUUGAAAAUAAUAUCUUUAAUGAUGCAUUGACCAAAAAAGGUCACAGGAACGGCUGUUUUUUUUAUUUUUCGUGCCACGCCCUUAAAGUUAAAACCACAGCCUUUUAAUGUUGAUGUUCGUAAUUAGCGACCCCAAAUUAACUAGAAAAUGUAUGUCGCUCCCCAGUGUAAUUUUACGUGUUGUGUAGUGUUAUUAUUAGAGUGAUUGGCCGUCCAAAGCCAAUACUUUUUAGUUAUUUUACGCAAGGAAAUUUUCUUUAUUCGCACUGUAUACAUUGUAAUUAUAAUAAUAUUAAAAAAAAAUUAUUAAAAAAUAUGUAUGUACUUUUGUAUUUUAAUUUGAAAUAAUUGUUUUCUCUCAAAUUGUAAAGGGGGGUAGUGGCCCUAGUAAAAUUAGACGAGGCAGCACUGGAUGCACUGCAAAAAAAAAUAGCACUUCGGGAACAAACAGCACUCUUAUUAGAAUAUUCGGAUAUCUACGUUUUUAUGUACAGGAAUUCGAUAAUCACAAUAUAUAAAUACUCUGUCAUUAAUAAUAAAUACAAAUUAUACAAUUUAAUUCCGUUAGCUUACAAACAUGGAAAAUUGAAAGAAAAAUAACAAAAUGUGAAAAUAAAUUUAUAACAUUAUCUAAAUGUAGAAAUAAUGUAGGAAUAAAUGUUUAUAAACAAGAAUUGCAAGAUAAUUGUACCAUCCCUUUACUAAAUAAGGACAAAACAUAUUGAAAUAUUGUUAAAAAACAAUGUGCCUUUAUUAAUAUUAGAUCACGGAAAUAUUAUAUUUGACGGAAUCCAUAUAUGGAACGGCCGAAAUAUUAUAGGCACAAAAUUAAUUCAGUUUAAUAUAUGCACUACUUUAGAUAAUAAGACGUAUUUUAACCAUGUCCAAGAAAUAAAAAAUAUAAUACAUGGUCAUCAAAAUGAACAAAUCAAAAUUAUGAAAAUAAUAGAAUCCAAAUCGAAUAAUAAAUUUUCUAAUAUGCACGAAAUAUACAAAUACCUAAUUCAUGUUGAGGAACGCCCUUUACAAUUUUUAAGCUACGCUAUUCUCUUAGUAAAAAUAUUAGGAUUAUUUAUAUACGCCUCAGUAAAGGCAUGUAAAUGUAUAUGAAAUGGAAGUACAGCGACUCCAAACACAGCGCUUUUGAAAUGAGGACAUUUCAUUUUAACAGAGGGGAGAGUUAAGGAAGAUAACAUUCCUUAUCAUACUCACGAACCCAAAUACAUCAACAAAUCCUUAUCAGCUGUAAACAUAAAAACAUGUCUCAUGACCUAUACACAUAAUAAUGUAUUGUAAUUAUCAGUAACAGAUAAGAACUUAUCCAAAAAUAUUUAUCAGCUUAAAAUAAGAACACAACAGAACAACAUGAAUGUUCUGUCGAUACUACAAAUAGUUGUAAGCAAACCUAAUGUCUUUUAGUCUUAGUAUUACCACAAACCAAGAAGGUAUAUUGAACUCAAUAAAGAAUAAUAAUAAA